rnacentral:rRNA from 1 species
GUAGGUGGCAAGCGUUUGUCCGGAAUUAUUGGGCGUAAAGCGCGCGCAGGCGGGUUCUUUAAGUCUGAUGUGAAAGCCCACGGGCUCAACCGUGAGGGUCAUUGGAAACUGGAGAACUUGAGUACAGAAGAGGAAAGCGGAAUUCCACGUGUAGCGGUGAAAUGCGUAGAGAUGUGGAGGAACACCAGUGGCGAAGGCGGCUUUCUGGUCUGUAACUUACGCUGAGGCGCGAAAGCGUGGGGAGCAAACAGGAUUAGAUACCCUGGUAGUCCACGCCGUAAACGAUGAGUGCUAAGUGUUAGGGGGUUUCCGCCCCUUAGUGCUGCAGCUAACGCAUUAAGCACUCCGCCUGGGGAGUACGGCCGCAAGGCUG